AUUGAACGCUGGCGGCAUGCCUAACACAUGCAAGUCGAACGGGGCAGCAAUGCCUAGUGGCGGACGGGUGAGGAAUCCGUAGGAAUCUGCGCUCCAGUGGGGGAUAACCAGGGGAAACCCUGAUUAAUACCGCAUGAUCUCUUCGGAGCAACGAGGGGGACCUGCGGGCCUGGCGCUCUAAGAUUAGCCUACGUCCGGUUAGGUAGUUAGUAGGGUAAAGGCCUACCAAGCCGACGAUCUGUAGCUGGUGUGAGAGGAUGAGCGGCCACACUGGGGCUGAGACAAGGCCCAGACUCCUACGGGAGGCAGCAGUGGGGAAUUUUGGACAAUGGACGCAAGUCUGAUCCAGCCAUUCCGCGUGCAGGAUGAAGGCCCUCGGGUUGUAAACUGCUUGUGUACAGAACGAAAAGGCUCUGGUUAAUACCUGGGGCUGAUGACGGUACUGUAAGAAUAAGCACCGGCUAACUACGUGCCAGCCGCCGCAGUAAUAC
rnacentral:rRNA from 1 species